rnacentral:rRNA from 1 species
CGAUGAACCACAUUCGGUGUGGAUUAGUGGCGAACGGGUGAGUAACACGUGGGCAAUCUGCCCUGCACUCUGGGACAAGCCCUGGAAACGGGGUCUAAUACCGGAUACGAGCCUCCGAGGCAUCUUGGGGGUUGGAAAGCUCCGGCGGUGAAGGAUGAGCCCGCGGCCUAUCAGCUUGUUGGUGAGGUAACGGCUCACCAAGGCGACGACGGGUAGCCGGCCUGAGAGGGCGACCGGCCACACUGGGACUGAGACACGGCCCAGACUCCUACGGGAGGCAGCAGUGGGGAAUAUUGCACAAUGGGCGAAAGCCUGAUGCAGCGACGCCGCGUGAGGGAUGACGGCCUUCGGGUUGUAAACCUCUUUCAGCAGGGAAGAAGCGAAAGUGACGGUACCUGCAGAAGAAGCGCCGGCUAACUACGUGCCAGCAGCCGCGGUAAUACGUAGGGCGCAAGCGUUGUCCGGAAUUAUUGGGCGUAAAGAGCUCGUAGGCGGCUUGUCACGUCGGUUGUGAAAGCCCGGGGCUUAACCCCGGGUCUGCAGUCGAUACGGGCAGGCUAGAGUGCGGUAGGGGAGAUCGGAAUUCCUGGUGUAGCGGUGAAAUGCGCAGAUAUCAGGAGGAACACCGGUGGCGAAGGCGGAUCUCUGGGCCAUUACUGACGCUGAGGAGCGAAAGCGUGGGGAGCGAACAGGAUUAGAUACCCUGGUAGUCCACGCCGUAAACGGUGGGAACUAGGUGUGGGCGACAUUCCACGUCGUCCGGUGCCGCAGCUAACGCAUUAAGUUGCCCCGCCUGGGGAGUAC